UGGGGAAUAUUGGACAAUGGGCGAAAGCCUGAUCCAGCGACGCCGCGUGAGCGAAGAAGUAUUUCGGUAUGUAAAGCUCUAUCAGCAGGGAAGAAAAUGACGGUACCUGACUAAGAAGCCCCGGCUAACUACGUGCCAGCAGCCGCGGUAAUACGUAGGGGGCAAGCGUUAUCCGGAUUUACUGGGUGUAAAGGGAGCGUAGACGGCAGUGCAAGCCAGAAGUGAGAGCCCGGGGCUUAACCCCGGGACUGCUUUUGAAACUGUGCAGCUGGAGUGCAGGGAG
rnacentral:rRNA from 1 species